UGAGCAGCCUGAUUGAUACAAAAGUAGCUACUAUUACAAAAAGUGGAAUAUGUUAAUUUAAGCUACAGGACAGUUAAGUACACCCAAGUAACUAUUUUUUGAAAGUUAGACAGAAUGACCUCUGAUAGCAUGUUUUUUUUAAUAGCAUGUUGUUUCAAAUAGUGUUUUUCCAGACACUUACAUGUUGUGUUCAGUAUGAUCUGUGCUGAACAGAUGUGUCUUUAAUCACCUCUGUUUGCAGUCUUUCUCUAUUUCAAAUGCAAGGUCAGACAGAGAGCUGGAGCCAGCUCCAAAUUAGCAGGAGGUUUGACUAUUGUGAAGUUCAUAAUAGCAUUAAAAUUAGUCCAUGGAAAGUAACAGAAUAUGCAUAAGAUUUCUGGCAAAAUAUAUCUACGUGCACGUAAGUGGGAAAUACAUUCUGUACCCAGCUCUUGUCCCGCUGCACACGAUUGAUGGAGAUCACUCCUUGUUGCUCAAGCCUGAUUACAGGGUGCUUGUUUUCUAAAACUGCAAAACGAGUCUUAGAGAGUUUAUUUGCUGGCAUUUUCGGUAUGGGUAGCACUGUGGUCUUGCACUGUGUGAGGUAUCGGGUAAGGGUGAGCAGCACACACUUCACCGUUGAGGAACACCUUGACUUCUGAGGCCGGUGCUGCACAGACCCCUUGGAACUGUUAUUUUCUGCUAUCCAUGACUCAAUGGCAGGCUCUAUUCAUGUUUUUGUACAGCUGAUCCCUGCAGCAGUUAUUCCUGGAGUAUAACAAUAUCUGUGAGAACCUCCUGCCCCAUAAAGAUUCCUAGCACCCUGCUAUUUUAAUUUUAGAAGAACACCAGAUCUUUUGUCAUGUCAGUCCCCUAGAAGCCCUGAAUCAACAGGGAAAAAACCAAAACCCCAUAGAUGUCUUCAUAAAUGUCAAUUGUGUUUUCCUUUCAUUAUCUCCAGAAUAGGGUUUGAUUUUUGCAUAUGGAAUAAUAUUGCCCUCCUGUGGUCAAACAACAGUAAGUCUGGGAGCUGCUGUCACAGUCUGUGUGCCUGUGGUUCAGGCAUGGUUUAUUCUGCGUGCAUGGGUGAUUUAGUGAAACAAGUCUUUUCCUCAGAUUACUUCCUCUUGCCUUUUGCUUAGUAGAGUUCGCUGUUACAGGAUUAGACCUCUAACCUGAUUCACCCUUUCAUGCUGUGAUGGGAUUGGCUCAUCAGAAUGAUUCACUGUUUUUUACUUUGCAACAGGGACAAGAUUCUCACAACCGAGUCUGUGGAGACUUGACAAAAGACACCUUUGUUGCUUCUGAAGGUCUCAGGGUCAACUACCCCAUUGCAGACACCACCAUAGCCUGCACAAUACAGACAGACCUGUGCUUGCUUGGGAUACGUGGAUGUGAAUUCUGGAGAGAUGCUUCUGGAAACAGCACUGCUCAGGUUGGAGGGUGCUGGCUGCCCCAGCUCUCCAAGCUUUGCCAGUUUCAGCAGUGUAUGAGCGCACCCUAUGAAGCAGAUCGACUUAUCCUGGCCAUCCUGUUCAGCAUGUCCCUCCGUGAGCACGCACUGUCCCUCUUCCGCUGUGCGGUGGGCACCGUCCAGCCGGCUCCAAUGCUGAAGAGAGCUAUGAAGCUCCAGGGAGACGGGUGCCCUCAGCUGCUAGUGAAGGACCAGGCCUUUCCAGUGAAGAGGGGACUGUAUCUGGUGGGAUUUGGCAAAGCUGUGCUGGGGAUGGCUGCAGCAGCAGAAGAGAUCCUGGGAGACCAUCUCGUUCGGGGGAUCAUCAAUGUGCCACUAGGCAUCCGCAAGAGCGUGCAGCGAGCAGGAAUGCAGGAGAUGCUGCUGAAGCCACACAGCAAAAUCCAGGUCAUCGAAGGUGCCAAGAACAAUCUCCCAGACCCAGAGGCUCUGAAAGGAGCAGUUGCCAUCCAGGAACUGGCUGAGGGUCUGACUGCAGAUGACCUGCUCCUCGUGCUUAUCUCAGGGGGUGGAUCAGCCCUACUGCCUGCUCCCAUCCCUCCCAUCCUCCUUGAAGAGAAGGAGAGACUCACAAAGAUGCUGGCUUCCCGAGGAGCUGCCAUACAGGAGCUGAACAUUGUCCGGAAGAGUCUGUCCUUGCUGAAGGGUGGAGGGCUGGCUCAGCUUGCAUAUCCUGCACAGGUGGUGAGCCUCAUCCUUUCUGAUGUGAUCGGUGACCCCCUGGACAUCAUAGCAAGUGGGCCCACUGCUGCCAGCUCCCACAGUGUGCAAGACUGCCUUCAGAUCCUCACCAAAUACAACCUGCUGCACAGUCUGCCCAAGUCAGUGGAAACUGUCCUGUCCAGCUCUCCCGCCAAGCCCACUGCUCUGAAAGACUACUCCCACGUUUGCAACAUCAUCAUCGGGUCAAACAUGCUGGCUUUAGACGAGGCCAAAUGCCAAGCCGAGGGCCUGGGCUACACAACUCUGAUUCUGAGCACAGCAAUCAGUGGGGAAGUUGGCCGUGUCGCCACACUGUACUGCCAGCUGAUCCAGCUGGUCUGCCUGGGCUUUGCUGGCCCUGGAGAAGGGCCCCUGGGUGAUGAGGUGAGGGGGAAUCUCCUGCAGCUGGCAGCAGAACUAGAGAUACCAUGUUUGAACCUUCCUGAGUUUCUACAGUCCCUGCGAGGAUUAGAGCCUGAAAGACCAGUCUGCAUCCUGGCUGGUGGAGAAACCACGGUUCAGCUCAAAGGAACUGGCAAGGGAGGGAGGAACCAGGAGUUGGCCCUGCGCAUAGGGCUGGGGCUGCACAGGGCACGGGCCAUGGAGGUCACUGGGUCCCUACGGAGGUGCGAGAUAAUCUUCCUCAGUGGGGGAACAGAUGGGCAGGAUGGGCCAACGGAGGCGGCGGGUGCCUUCUGCAGCCCGGAGCUGGUGGAUGAGGCACUGCAGGAGGGCCUCAAUGUGGAGGCUGUUCUCAGCAACAAUGACUCCUAUACGUUCUUCAGCCAGUUCCAAGGUGGGCAUCACCUUCUGGUGACAGGCUUGACGGGCACCAAUGUCAUGGACAUCCAGGUCAUUUUAAUUAGAGCCAUGGUGAGAUCAUGAAAGCUCACUCUGCAGAUAGCCAGAUGCAUUUAAUUAGAACUGUGCGUAAAUGAAGGCAUCAACACUGCAGACAUAUGUAAACUACUUAAAUCAAGGCUCUCUGUCAAGGGUGCAAAUAUCUUUGACAGAAAGGCUCCACUAAUUAGACACGAGUGGAUAUCCACAGCAACAGCAAGUGCUUGUAAUUGGGAUCAGAGUAAGAUAAGAGGUCACAUUACAGACACAGAGGCCAGAUUUAACACUUCUUCCGAAAGCUGCUUCUCUGGUGACUGUUUCAACUACAGUAAAAGGCAUGUGGAAAGUGAGGCCAUGGUACGGCUGCCAGGGAGAGUCCUCACUGUGGCUGUUGCACUUCCAGUGCCCCCAGCUCAAGAGGAGCUCAUCAGGGAGCUUUUGCGGGUUCACAGAGUGCAUUACAGUGACUGAAGGGCAUAAAAGUAAUAGCAAGGCCUGCCCAGCUGAAGGUAUGGAGGUUCUGGGGUGGCAUGAUGGGAAGAGGACACCCAGCGCUGGCUCCAUGCACCCUGCAGCUCCUGUGGCGAUGCAGAGACUCUGAGCCAAGCACAACACAUACCUAUCAGCACAGCUAAGGGGCACAUUGGCCAAGAGCAGCAUUUAAUUUCAGAUGUGUGACACGAGAGCAAUGCACAGUGACAGCGACACAGGGGGUGGUGUACCUUCACUGUGCAGCAGAAGGGAGGGGUACAAUUGAGGUGCACGGUGAGUCAGCUGAGUGGAGCUCUUCUCCUCCAGCCUCCUUCCCUCCAUGGGGACAUCUUUCCUGCUGAUCCCUGUCAGGAGAGCCUCCGUGCCAGCAGUGUGUAUGCUAUGAGCUUUCACGGUGUUGUUUUCCAACUGCCUAGAAAACAGUCGUGCAUCCAGCCUGAGCCACUGACCUUUCUUCUGCGCUGAGGCAGAAGUCGCUGUCACUCUGAUUAACUCUGCUAAUUCCAAAGAACAAAAGGCAAGGAAACCUUCAUGCUCAGCUCUCCUGACCCAUGCUGCUGAGCUGAUCAAAGGGCAAAGCUACUGGAGCCAUACUUUAACAGGGAGACGCUCCCCCCACAUGUAUGGGGAUGCAGUGGUUAUUGUGGUUUCAUCACCUACUGGAGUGCAAUAUGUGGGAGAGCAGAGACGAGCUGAGUUUCCCAGGACGUGGAGCCCACAGUGGGGCUGGAUUUCAGAAGGGCUUUGCCUGCAGCAACAGGCACGGUGAUGGUUUUGGCUGGAUAUUCAAAGGCCUUCAGCUCAGCAGCCAGUACGACGAACACGUCCGACUCCUUUUGAAUACCUGCCUGUUUGUUACAGAGCCUAAGCGGUAACUGAGUUCCUUUGAAAAAAUCCAGCCCUAAUUUAAUAGGACACGCUUGACUCAGACUCUUUCCAGACAGACCGACCUACUCCGUGCAGCUGAUCUCAUCUCGUGACAUAAAUACACCAACCUGCCAACACCACGAGUCGUGGUGUCUCACUGAACAGUUGUUCUGGGCUCUGCUCUGAGAUGAAUCGGAGGGUGGAUUUUUGAGGAGGAUGCAACAACUCCUGCUUUGGUUUUGAAGCCAAUAUCUAGUAAGUAGGGAUAUCAGCAGGACUGUCAUGGGGCCCGGUAUCAAUGCCAGGCUGGCAGCUGGGCAGUCUGGGCCACAGCCCAGGUGUAGUGUCAAGGCACAAGCCCAGGGAUUUCAAAACCUGGUCUUACCCCAGUGGUUUAAACUCAUCUAUGCAUCUCAUUUGUCCUCCGAGUCUGAAGGUCUUCUGUAACAUGCCUGAACUUGCUCACACUGGCAAACAGCUCUGAGAUCUGCUGGAAGAAGCCUGCCAAGCAUUCUAAAGCUUGCUGUGCCUCCGUAAUGUCAGGUGGCGGUUACACAGGAGAAGCUGCUUUGUGCUGUGUGUUUUUCUCCGGAGGUCACCCCCAGGUUUCAGAGCGUUUGGCUUUUGCUGCAUGCCCAGCAUGCCAGCACCAUGGAGGCAUUAAUACAAGCAGCGAUGGAGCCAAAACGUAUGGGCUGCAGCCAGGAUAACUGGCAAAAUCUGGCUCCAAAAUGUUGUUAAUGCUUCUUGUCCAAUUCUGCUCCAGUGAAAUCCAGAGUGACUCUGGUUUUGGGCUGGAGUGCCUGGCUGAAGGACCACUGGCACCUUCAACAGCAAAUCCAGCAUGCCAGCUUGGGCAUGCAGUCCCAGGCCUGUCAUCUUCCUGCACUUUGCCCACAGCUGAGUGUCAUGCCAAUCCCUGGAGCUGCUGCUUGCACUGCAUCGCAGUCAAGUUCAGAAGACCUUGGACUGGUGCUCGCUGCCUUCUCCUGGGAAAUGCCUACCACACAUACCCUGAGCAGUGUCCUUGCUUUCGAAACAGUGGCUUUUCACUACCGAUUAAAAAGAGUUUGUGUUGGAGAGGAGAGAAGGCUAAUAAAAGGUUUGUUGAAAGGAUGGAGCUGUUUGAAGCGCACUUCACAUCUGCAUUUGCUUGGCCUCCAUGUACAGUUUUUGUUCUUGUCCCUUCUUUCCUAACGAGGAGAUAGCAGGAGAGGGGGAGGUUGACCAAGGACACAUAGGUUUCAAAAACACUUCUCCUCUUCUAAGGCUUCUACCUGGAUAAAGCAAAGCUCCAUUUCUGAUGGAUUGCUUGUGUGGACCUCAUGCAUCUUUUGCUUAGGAAGGAAAGGCACUUUGGAGGGUUUGUGCCCCUUACAAACACGGCAUCAUUUUAUUCCUCUGGACAAUGCUCAGCAGAGAAUUGUGCGUGGCUGGUCCAGCCCAAAGCCAGCUCCCUCUGACCUACAGUCCCUUCACCAACAGCAGAAGAUCCCGCGCAUGAGCCAGCGUACGUUUGGGCUGCACUGGUCAGGUUUUGCAAGGAUUUGAGGUAACACUUGCACCUAAAGACGCAACAGCAUUGCUUACCUGCCAAGUACUCAUUUGCUUCUGGGCUGUUGGAGCCUGCCAGGAGUGAUGACUUUCCCAUUGGGAACCUGACACCUCCUUCCAGUGCCUACACCCAGAUGCUGCUAGAGGCUGUAGCCCAUCUUCUGGGACAGCACGGGCAAAAGUGAAGCAGGGGAUGAGUCCACCGGCACAACCAGCAGGAUUCUUCACAGCAGAUGUGAUGCAGAAUCAGGCCUGCCCCUGCAACGGGCUGCAACACAAGGAGUGGGCUUGUUCUGGCCUCACCCCAAAACAGCUUGGGCACCCCUCACCUGCCACCCGAGAGGGCUGGAGAGACCAGGAUGCAGGACAGAGCCUGGACUGAGGCCAGCAGCCCUCCUCCAGCACACGGGAUAGCUUUGGUGGCUCCUCUAAGACCGGCUCCCGUGGCUGUUCUCUGCCGUAGGACCCCGGCGUAUUGCACGGCUUCAAUCCCUAUAUGAAGUGGGAUGAAUAAUCACAUAGGAAUAAAAAGCCAUACAAGACGGCAGGCUGUGAGUUGCUCCAUGCUGUCGAGGCGACAGGCCAGUCCCUCUGCAGUGGCUGCCACGGUCCCUGCUGGGACAGCGCUGGGCCCCGGGGAGCUCCCCCACAGCCGCUGUGCGGGGUCCAUAGGGAGACAAAGAAGCCCUGCAUCAAACAGAGAAGAAAGGCAAUGUUUCAGCCAGGAGAAAGCAUGGGAGGCCCCUGAGCUGCUGGAGAGGGAGCUCCGUGGAGUGCCAGCACUUGCUCCCAGCUCUCAGGACUCCCCACCUGAGCCAAGACACUCCCUGUGACCACAACCAGACCUCCCUCUCCACCCAUCCCCGUCCUGGAGCAUCACUUCCAGGAGCUCCUCCAGCCUGGGGACCCUGUGCUAGCACCACCACUAUCUCCAGGACUUUAUCAGCCCCACGAAGACAAUGGGUACCACAACACUCCAGCACCAUCGCAAACACCUGCUGGGGGGACAAAAAGGAGCCAGCCCUCUCCCCACAGCAGUGGUGGGAGCAUCCAUCUCUGUCUGCCCAAAAAAGAGGAGAGCCCGGCAGGUGGAGCGAGCGGUUGCAGGGAGCUGUCAGCACCCGGCUGUCAGAGCACAAAUCCCCUGGCAGCCCAUUAGGAGCAACUCCUGGCUGCCUGCAGGAGCUCUUGACAGGGGGCCAGGCACCGGCGCGAAUCCUCUGCUAAGAAGGUGGACGUGGGUGGAAUGAAACCAGGGAGCUGUUGCCCCGGAGAACACUUACUGAGCGGCACCAGCCCGGCCACCGCGAGCAGCCCCAUGCACUAGGGUAGGGGGUGCCCAGGGCAGGCCCCCCUGGGAGCCCACUCAAGCAAUGCUGGGAAUAAAGCCAAAUGAUGGCCAGCAGAAAGGAGGUUUUGUGCUGCCUCCUCUCCUCCUGCCUUGCUCUAGAAGCUGCUCACAUCCCAGCAGGAUUCUGGCAUCCGUGGGAUAGGAGACCCGGAGCAGUGCCUGUGGCAGGAGAGGACAGGCGGUGACUGCAGGCUUGUGCAACACAAGAAGGGAAGAGCUUAAAAAAGAACAAAGCAGCGGUGCACAGCCGUGCACUGCUUGCCGAGGGCACUGAGAAAACUUUUGGCUGGCCCAGGAGGCUGCAGCCCAUCACCAGCCUUUGGCUGAGCACCAGGACGUUGCCUUGGGCAGUGCCAGAGGGGCUGAGUCACUCCAGAGCCAUCACUCCAGGCUCCCCUUAACCACAAGGGGCAACUUCAAGCUCUUGGCUGCAUUUCCAAGCCACACGACAGCACUGGGAAGCAAAACACCCUCCAGAACACCCCCAGAAUCUUUCCCCAUCUUCAGGGCCGGGGUUUUCCCUGAGGUCAGAGCAGCUCAGCAGGUUGGACACUGCACGUUAUCCCUCAUGGGAUGCUCCUGCCCAGAUGGACCCUGCAUGGUGGGCAGGCAGGUGUCCCCAGGUGAAGGUCACCCACGUCCCCUCCCCAUGGCAGUGCGAGCAGGGGGCUGCCAGGCUCUGGGGAAGGGGAUAGCAUCCUUUGCAGCCCCUCCCCCAUGCUGAACAAUUUGGGGCAAAGGGCCUUUUUUUGGUGCAGAACCUGAAGGCUUUGGCUUUCCAUAUCAGUUACCUUAUGAGCUCUCAUCCACCUGCUCCACGACCUGCUAAGAGGCAAGAGUUGAGCCACAUGCUGCUGAAUUUUGGGAUGAUGAAGGGGUCAUCCCCACCUUGGAGAGGUGCAGCUUUGAUAGGAGCAGCCCCAGCUCUCCCCUGGCCAGGCUGUGCCACAAUAAUUGCCGGAUCAGUCGUCACAGGAAGAGCUUGGAAGAGCACAAAUCCCACAGCUCAAGGGGCUCAACCCAACCAAAAUCUCCAGCAAAACCCACAGAGGAGGCAAGUGGCAAAGGCCCUCAGUGCGGCAGCAGGGAAAAGCAGGUGAGCAACUGCACCGCUGGAGAAAACCAGACACGGUGAUGGUGCCACUGGGUUCUCGAUCGCUUCUUAACCGCCUCCAAACCAAAUCAGCAAAUUAAGGGAUCGUCAUUAGAUGAUUUGUAUGAAAAGAUGCAUUUGUGAAUCACUGUACCCAGGCUGGGUAAGAACAUCGACGGAGCUGUAUUUGGGAGUAAUUACUCUCUGCGAGCAUGUGAAUCAUUAGGUAUAAUUGCCCUAAUAAAUAAAAGGGAGAUAACUCCCGUCUCCAGCCUAAUCUAGCGCAAGUGAUUUUGGGGGUGAGCUGUGCAAAAGAAAACAAGGAGCGCGAGGCAGAUGGAAAGCAGAAAGAGGAGAGCUUCAAAACUUGGACAUGCUGCUCAUCCCUCCCAAAGCUGACAGCCUUGGAUUCUCUCCUGCAGGUCCCUACUGAAGUCUGGCACAGGAAAUUUGCUAGAGAGGGGUGAGAGUUUUGCCUUCCCAGG